rnacentral:rRNA from 1 species
AAACGACUGCUAAUACCGCAUGACAUAUCCGAAGGGCAUCCUUUGGAUAUCAAAGCUUUAUGUGCUGGAAGAUGGCCUCGCGUCUGAUUAGAUAGUUGGUGGGGUAACGGCCUACCAAGUCGACGAUCAGUAGCCGGUCUGAGAGGAUGAACGGCCACAUUGGGACUGAGAUACGGCCCAGACUCCUACGGGAGGCAGCAGUGGGGAAUAUUGGGCAAUGGGGGAAACCCUGACCCAGCAACGCCGCGUGAAGGAAGAAGGCCUUCGGGUUGUAAACUUCUUUACCAGGGACGAAGGACGUGACGGUACCUGCAGAAAAAGCAACGGCUAACUACGUG